UUAUGUUUAAGUGCUCUUGUAAGUAAAUUGUUUUUUCCUCACCUCCGGGUGGAAAACGCCAACUUUCUUCCCGCUGCGCUUACCGAUGUUGCCGUUUUC